UGGUGGAGUGAUUUGUCUGGUUAAUUCCGUUAACGAACGAGACCUUAACCUAUUAAAUAGUUGCACACGAAUUUGAUUCAUGUGUUACUAUCAUUAUAGUUACAUUUGUUUCUUAAUGAUAGUAUCCUCCAUGUUUCUGUAUUGUUCUGUGUGAUUGUGUAUGUAUGUGUAAAAGCGUGCAUAAUACGACAACUUCUUAGAGGGACUCAUUACAUGUAUAGUAA
rnacentral:rRNA from 1 species